rnacentral:tRNA from 1 species
CCUGGUAGCUCAGCUGGUAAAGAAUCUGCCUGCAAUGCAGAAGACCCAGGUUCGAUCCCUGGGUCAGGA